rnacentral:rRNA from 1 species
ACCCGCUGAAUUUAAGCAUAUAAGUAAGCGGAGGACUUGAAACCAAACAGGAUUCCUUCAGUAACGGCGAGUGAACAGGGAGUAGCUCAGCAUGGAAAUUGGGGCUGGUAGCCUUGAGUUGUAGUCUGGAGAUGCGUUGCCAAUGGGGGUGCAGAUGUAAGCCUCUUGGAAAAGAGCACUAAUGAGGGUGACAGUCCUGUUUGCCAUCUGUCGUCUUCCAUGCACGGCGUGCUUUCUACGAGUCACGUUCCUUGGGCUUGGAGCGCCAAUGUGGUGGUAAUUUUCACCCCAAGCUAAAUACAUGUUCAGGACCGACAGCAAACAAGUACCAUGAGGGAAAGGUGAAAAGGACUUUGAGAAGAGUGUUAAAAGUGCAUGAAUUUGCUGAAUGUAAGUGAAUGGAACCGUUUGUCUGGGUAAGAUUGCCACACUUGUCUGUGACGUGGUGCCUGAUUUCGCAAGUAUUGCAGUGCUGCGUUGUUUGUGUAUGUGUGGUGUUUCUUGCCUUGCUAGUCACUGUCAGUGUGCAACUGUGCAUGAAAUCAAGGAUUUGYGUGUUCACUUGUGGUGGCCAUGCAUGWCUUGAGUGUGCACACUUGUACAUUGCUUGGUGUGUGCCGGGGUGGAGUGUUGCAGGCUGCUCUUUGUUGCUGAGAAAMUGUUCUCUUCAUGAGGUGUGYGCUUGGGACAUAUUCUUGUUUGCGCCAACRKUGACUAAAUGGCUCUAUUCGACCCGUCUUGAAACACGGACCAAGGAGUCUAACGCAUGUGUAAGUUUGCGGGUGGCCAACUUGUGUGCGACAUGAARGUGUUUGUUGGGAUUCUGUGCACUAACAAUGGACCAAUCGUGUGGGAGAGGUUUGAGUUGGAGCACAUGCGUUAGGACCCGAAAGAUGGUGAACUAUGCCUGAGGAGGGCAAAUUCAGGGGAAACUCUGAUGGAGGCUUGUAGCGAUACUGACGUGCAAAUCGUUCGUCUCAC